UCACAGGAGAGCUGCAGGACAAGGGACAGCGCUGGCCCCACUCACAGGAGAGCUGCAGGACCAGGGACAGCACCGGCCCCACUCACAGGACAGCUGCAGGAUCAGGGACAGCACCGGCCCCACUCACAGGAGAGCUGCAGGACCAGGGACAGCACCGGCCCCACUCAAAGUUCUAGCAGACUGGAGUCAAAGGCGGUAAACCAGAAGUUUCCCAGUGUCCAGUCUCACCCGUUUGCCUCCUGAGACAAUGUUUUCCCCCAGCACUGUGACACAGAGGUUCGGUUGACUGGGAUUGUCCCAUUGGCUGCAAAGCAUCACAAGUGUAUCACAAGAUGAAACAUAAUCAUGAUGGAGAACAUGUAUGACAUCAUUUUAGAA